UUUAAAUAGUUUAAUAAAAAUAUUGAUUUGUGGUGUCAAUGAUAAGGUAGACCUUUUUAAAUC
rnacentral:tRNA from 1 species